rnacentral:rRNA from 1 species
AGAGUUUGAUCAUGGCUCAGAAUGAACGCUGGCGGCGUGGAUUAGGCAUGCAAGUCGAACGCGAAAGCGGGUAUUUAUAUCUGCGAGUAGAGUGGCGAACGGGUGAGUAACGCGUGGGAAACCUGCCCUCGAGUGGGGGAUAACAAUUCUAACGGAUUGCUAAUACCGCAUGACAUUACUGAAUGCAUGUUCAGUAAUCAAAGGUGGCCUCUGCUUGCAAGCUGUCGCUUGAGGAUGGUCCCGCGUCCCAUUAGCUUGUUGGUAGGGUAACGGCCUACCAAGGCGACGAUGGGUAGCCGGCCUGAGAGGGUGACCGGCCACACUGGGACUGAGACACGGCCCAGACUCCUACGGGAGGCAGCAGUCGAGAGGCUUCGGCAAUGGGGGAAACCCUGACCGAGCGACGCCGCGUGGGUGAUGAAGCCCUUCGGGACGUAAAGCCCUGUCAUACGGGAUGAAAAGCCGAUUGGUAAAUAACUUUUUGGGGGACA